rnacentral:lncRNA from 1 species
GAAACUGGACGACAUGAUAGCCAGGGCAUGUGAGAGGGAGAUUGAUAUGGAGCAUAUAAUGAAGAGGAAGGCGGAGUCUGGGCAGACAGGAGGGGUUUCUACGAAUAAACCCAAGGGAUUCGACUCAAGGUCGANUAGAGAGGAGGGGUUUCUACGAAUAAACCCAAGGGAUUCGACUCAAGGUCGAAGGGCCAUCAGGUCCGGGGACGCUGUGGGAAACGCAACAAGCCACAUAAGGGAUCUUGUAGGUUAGGGAGCUCAGGCUGCAACAAGUACGACAAGACUGGGCACUUUAGCAAGGAUUGUACCGCUCCCGCUCCUACCAUUCCGACAUCAGAUCUAAUUUGAUUCCAUUGCAAUCAGAAGGGCCACAGGAAAGCCCACUAUCCGAGCUUAGCAAUAGGAGCACCAGUGGUGGCGCCGCCUCCAGCGACCCUGCGUAUCACAGAC